rnacentral:rRNA from 1 species
CCUGGCGGCACUAGCGCGGUGGUCCCACCGGACCCCAUGCCGAACUCAGAAGUGAUACGCCGUAGCGCCGAUGGUAGUGUGGGGUCUCCCCAUGUGAGAGUAGGGAACUGCCAGGC